rnacentral:rRNA from 1 species
CCAUAUUGGGUGAUAGCCCCGUACACGAAAAUCUCUUAUCAAUGAAAUCGAGUAGGACGGAGCACGAGAAACUUUGUCUGAAUAUGGGGGGACCAUCCUCCAAGGCUAAAUACUCGUAAUCGACCGAUAGUGAACCAGUACCGUGAGGGAAAGGCGAAAAGAACCCCGGGAGGGGAGUGAAAUAGAUCCUGAAACCGCAUGCAUACAAGCAGUGGGAGCCGACUUGUUCGGUGACUGCGUACCUUUUGUAUAAUGGGUCAGCGACUUACAUUCAGUAGCAAGGUUAACCGCAUAGGGGAGCCGUAGAGAAAUCGAGUCUUAAUAGGGCGUUUAGUUGCUGGGUGUAGACCCGAAACCGGGUGAUCUAUCCAUGAGCAGGUUGAAGGUUGGGUAACACUAACUGGAGGACCGAACCCACUGUCGUUGAAAAGCCAGGGGAUGACUUGUGGAUAGGGGUGAAAGGCUAAUCAAACUCGGUGAUAGCUGGUUCUCCCCGAAAGCUAUUUAGGUAGCGCCUCGGACGAAUACCAUUGGGGGUAGAGCACUGUUUCGGCUAGGGGGUCAUCCCGACUUACCAAACCGAUGCAAACUCCGAAUACCUACAAGUGCCGAGCAUGGGAGACACACGGCGGGUGCUAACGUCCGUCGUGGAGAGGGAAACAACCCUGACUUACAGCUAAGGCCCCUAAUUCGUGGCUAAGUGGGAAAGGAUGUGGAAAUCCCAAAACAACCAGGAGGUUGGCUUAGAAGCAGCCAUCCUUUAAAGAAAGCGUAACAGCUCACUGGUCUAAAUAAGGGUUUCUGCGCCGAAGAUGUAACGGGGCUCAAGCCACGAGCCGAAGCUUAGGGUGUGCGCAAGCACGCGGUAGCG